rnacentral:rRNA from 1 species
GGGGAAUUUUGGACAAUGGGCGCAAGCCUGAUCCAGCAAUGCCGCGUGAGUGAAGAAGGCCUUCGGGUUGUAAAGCUCUUUUGUCAGGGAAGAAACGGUGAGGGCUAAUAUCCUUUGCUAAUGACGGUAACUGAAGAAUAAGCAUCGGCUACCUACGUGCCAGCAGCCGCGGUAAUACGUAGGGUGCAAGCGUUAAUCGGAAUUACUGGGCGUAAAGCGUGCGCAGGCGGUUUUGUAAGUCUGAUGUGAAAUCCCCGGGCUCAACCUGGGAAUUGCAUUGGAGACUGCAAGGCUAGAAUCUGGCAGAGGGGGGUAGAAUUCCACGUGUAGCAGUGAAAUGCGUAGAGAUGUGGAGGAACACCGAUGGCGAAGGCAGCCCCCUGGGUCAAGAUUGACGCUCAUGCACGAAAGCGUGGGGAGCAAA